GAUGAACGCUGGCGGCGUGCCUAAUACAUGCAAGUCGAGCGAACGGACGAGAAGCUUGCUUCUCUGAUGUUAGCGGCGGACGGGUGAGUAACACGUGGAUAACCUACCUAUAAGACUGGGAUAACUUCGGGAAACCGGAGCUAAUACCGGAUAAUAUUUUGAACCGCAUGGUUCAAAAGUGAAAGACGGUCUUGCUGUCACUUAUAGAUGGAUCCGCGCUGCAUUAGCUAGUUGGUAAGGUAACGGCUUACCAAGGCAACGAUGCAUAGCCGACCUGAGAGGGUGAUCGGCCACACUGGAACUGAGACACGGUCCAGACUCCUACGGGAGGCAGUAGUAGGGAAUCUUCCGCAAUGGGCGAAAGCCUGACGGAGCAACGCCGCGUGAGUGAUGAAGGUCUUCGGAUCGUAAAACUCUGUUAUUAGGGAAGAACAUAUGUGUAAGUAACUGUGCACAUCUUGACGGUACCUAAUCAGAAAGCCACGGCUAACUACGUGCCAGCAGCCGCGGUAAUACGUAGGUGGGCAGCGUUAUCCGGAAUUUAUGGGCGUAAAGCGCGCGUAGGCGGUUUUUUAAGUCUGAUGUGAAAGCCCACGGCUCACCGUGGAGGGUCAUUGGAAACUGGAAAACUUGAGUGCAGAAGAGGAAAGUGGAAUUCCAUGUGUAGCGGUGAAAUGCGCAGAGAUAUGGAGGAACACCAGUGGCGAGGGCGACUUUCUGGUCUGUAACUGACGCUGAUGUGCGAAAGCGUGGGGAUCAAACAGGAUUAGAUACCCUGGUAGUCCACGCCGUAAACGAUGAGUGCUAAGUGUUAGGGGGUUUCCGCCCCUUAGUGCUGCAGCUAACGCAUUAAGCACUCCGCCUGGGGAGUACGACCGCAAGGUUGAAACUCAAAGGAAUUGACGGGGACCCGCACAAGCGGUGGAGCAUGUGGUUUAAUUCGAAGCAACGCGAAGAACCUUACCAAAUCUUGACAUCCUUUGACAACUCUAGAGAUAGAGCUUUCCCCUUCGGGGGACAAAGUGACAGGUGGUGCAUGGUUGUCGUCAGCUCGUGUCGUGAGAUGUUGGGUUAAGUCCCGCAACGAGCGCAACCCUUAAGCUUAGUUGCCAUCAUUAAGUUGGGCACUCUAAGUUGACUGCCGGUGACAAACCGGAGGAAGGUGGGGAUGACGUCAAAUCAUCAUGCCCCUUAUGAUUUGGGCUACACACGUGCUACAAUGGACAAUACAAAGGGCAGCGAAACCGCGAGGUCAAGCAAAUCCCAUAAAGUUGUUCUCAGUUCGGAUUGUAGUCUGCAACUCGACUAUAUGAAGCUGGAAUCGCUAGUAAUCGUAGAUCAGCAUGCUACGGUGAAUACGUUCCCGGGUCU
rnacentral:rRNA from 1 species